ACUGAAGUGAAGUUACCAAGUAAUACCCUAUGCAGAUGUCUGAUUGGUUGUAGGAAGGGGACCAAUCAGAGGUACUUGCCAUUUCUCAUCUGCGAUGCAGAAAGGGGUGCGGGUUGCAAAGGGAGUAGCCUCUGUUUUUUUGUUACUUAAGCAUGGGAAGUUGGAGUUUUCCUUUUGAUUCAUUUCUAGGAAGUCGGUGCAAACUGGCCCUGCCUCCAGACCCUAUUCUCCAGCAUGAAUUGCAUCUCAUCAAUGUCAUUUUCACUUUUGAUGAUGAAGGCUGAUUACCUUGUAGAGAGAGAAGUCAUAGGGAUGUUAUGUCCAUGGAGCGUGGCCUUAAGUGGACCUAUUUCUUGGGGUCUCCAGAUCUGUUUGGAACUUCAAAAUUAUUCAAGAAAAGGUGUCUCAUCAGCAGAAGACUGAACAGUUUUACCUAAUGGUAUCUUGAGUAGAAAUGUAACCUAGAAGAGUUUAUUGAAAAUCCUCCUGGCUGAUGCUUAUUUCUUGGAAUCCUGAGUCUUACACUUGCUACCUAAUAAAAAGAAGGAAGAUUCUUCUCAGCAAGUGUGACUUGCUGAGGCAAGUGUGAACCCAGCUUAAGACCGUUCCUACCACAUGACACCUCAAGAGCUUCUAUCUACCAUCUACACAGAG
rnacentral:lncRNA from 10 species